UCCCCCACCACCUUACUACUACAAGAGUCCCCCACCACCAUCACCUGUGGUUAAACCUCCAUACUACUACAAAUCUCCCCCACCACCCUCACCCGUGGUUAAGCCUCCAUACUAUUACAAUUCUCCACCUCCACCAUCACCCUCUCCCCCUCCUCCAUACUAUUACAAAUCUCCACCUCCACCAUCACCUUCUCCUCCACCUCCUUACUACUACAAGAGCCCCCCACCACCAUCACCCUCUCCUCCUCCUCCGUACUAUUAUAAAUCUCCCCCACCACCAUCACCGGUAGUUAAGCCUCCAUACUAUUACAAAUCUCCACCUCCACCAUCCCCUUCUCCACCACCUCC
rnacentral:lncRNA from 1 species